rnacentral:rRNA from 1 species
AACGAACGCUGGCGGCAUGCCUAACACAUGCAAGUCGAACGAUUGCCUUCGGGUGAUAGUGGCGCACGGGUGCGUAACGCGUGGGAAUCUGCCCUCAGGUUCGGAAUAACAGUUGGAAACGACUGCUAAUACCGGAUGAUGACGUUAAGUCCAAAGAUUUAUCGCCUGAGGAUGAGCCCGCGUAGGAUUAGCUAGUUGGUGUGGUAAGAGCGCACCAAGGCGACGAUCCUUAGCUGGUCUGAGAGGAUGAUCAGCCACACUGGGACUGAGACACGGCCCAGACUCCUACGGGAGGCAGCAGUGGGGAAUAUUGGACAAUGGGCGAAAGCCUGAUCCAGCAAUGCCGCGUGAGUGAUGAAGGCCUUAGGGUUGUAAAGCUCUUUUACCCGGGAUGAUAAUGACAGUACCGGGAGAAUAAGCUCCGGCUAACUCCGUGCCAGCAGCCGCCGUAA